rnacentral:lncRNA from 1 species
UCUAUAAUGUGGUUGUUGAGGAGCUGCCGUCAAAUGUUGCUGAACUCCUGUAACUGAGAUUUUUUCUUCCUGAGUUGUUAGUGGCAAAAAAGGUAACUGGUUUCCAUUUGACAUUGAAUAGGUCCAGUGUUUUUAAGGUAAAGACGGUAUUUUGUUUAUUACCUUUUUUUUUAUAGUAAUUUAAAAACAGAUGAUUCUGAGUUUUAAUUUUGAUAACGCUCGUUAAACAUUAAAUGAUUGUACUUUGGUAAUUUUAUUUAUUUUAUUUCUAUGGACAACAUAAAUUAAUCUUGGUAUUGAACAAUAAUCUAGAGUUGUGGUCAUUUUCAUUGUAAAUUCUUAAUUUUUUAAAAAAAUCUAAUUGAAACAAGGCGGGAGCGUAUAAUAGCCGUGAGGAAUCCUUGUGAGACACUUGUCUGUUGAUGUGUUGUUGCAAUGUGAAUAAGUAUAAUUGAUAAUAUUUUAAUGAUAAUAUUUGAUAUUAGCUAGUUACAUUUGUAAUCUUAUUCAAUUUCAUGUUUUGAUAUACGUCAAAAUCGUAAUAGAGGGUUCUUUAGACAACAAAUUGAUCACUUCUUAUGUAGGGCUGAACAAAAAACGGGUAAAAUUAAAUAAUCGAACAUAACUAAAUUUUUUUAAUCGAAAUAUUUUGGUUAUUCGGUUAUUUUUUGUAAUUUGGUUAUAACCGUUUAAUAUUCAAUUUUCAGAUUGGGGUUUGAUUAUUGAUUUUGUGUUAUUAACCGCAUAUCUGAAUUAGAAUUAAAAAAAAUACUUAAAUUUGAACCAGAGUAGAAACCCAUCAAUGACACAUGAUAACAACUUGCAAACAGUAUACAAAGUGGUGUGGUUAGCUUUCAUACCUGAGAUUCAUUGCCAAGUUAUUAAUAAUAUAGACAAGCAUCACUACCGCAAGCAUUUAGAUAUACCCUGACAGCUUAAACCAACAUAAAUCACUUUCCUUAAUUUCGGUUAUUCGUUUAAUAACCGAAUCUAUCAACUCGGUUAACAGUUCAAAUAUUAAAAAUGUGUUCAAUUAUAACUGAAUUGCUCCCCUCUUACCCUCUUAUGUACUUAACACCUCCUUAAAAGGAAGUAUGUCUAAAGUAUACAAGUCGAUUAAUUUAAAUUUUAUAUUGAUUAAUUUAUUUUUUGUCAUUAUAUUUUAACCAAAAAGUAAAUAAAUAACUCAAAUUAAUUCCCUCUUCAUAAAUACGAGCCAAUUAAAAUAAUAAACAUACACAUAUUAAUAAGGACAUUUUCUUAUGCUCAUCUUUUAUUAUCUUAACCCGCGGUAGUGAUGAUUAUUAGGUUUAGAAUGAAAUUUAUUUGGUUAAUUGACCAAUAGAAUGCUGACACAUAUAUAAUCUUGCAUGUGCAAUUGACCAACUUAUCCAAAAAUAAACUCCAUGCUAACCACAACCCUAUAACAGAGAGACCCCAAAACUUUAAUGCCAUUUAUGAACACGAGGAUUUGGGUAUGGGAUGGUAGUAUAAUUUUUUGGUCGCAUAAACAAAAAUAGUCUUAUAUAUAAAAUUGAAAAAUAUAUUUUUAUUUCAUAUACGUUCCUAAAAUAAUAAAUUAUUAAUCUUAUACUAUAUAAUAUGAUAAUGACAUUAAGAUACCAAACGCCCGGGUGUUUAUAUUAUUACAAAAAAGUGGACUCUAUUCAUGGGCAGGAAAAAUAUCGCAUCUGUUCACAUAAUUGUUAGAAUUAAGAGUAUCUUGGAUGGGAAUGGGAGACUUGGAACAAACUAAACAAAGAGGGGGAUAGGGUGUUUGCUGAAUAUUGAAAGGUACUAGGAGGAAUAUGUUGGUUUAUAUGUUUUGUUUUAAGAUGAUAAUAUAUUUUAUAUGGAGAUAUUUUGUUCUUUCCAGGUUUGGACUUUGAUCUGAUCAUAUAUGUCUGCUAAAUGAGAACUGAAUUUCAAAAGUCUCAUCGUGGAUAAGACACUACUGGAUUAGGUCUCUAGAAAAUCACUUGCGUUCUAUUUCUAAGUUUUAAAAUAGACAGAAAAGAAAAAAAAUGGACGAAAAAUUUAAGUUUUAUUUUCAAUUCUUAUGUUUUUGAGUUUUUUAAUAAACAGAAAAGAAAAGAAAUUGAUAGAAAACUUGGCCACUUUUCCUGCCAAAGUUUUCCGUCCAAAAUUGGCCUGAUUUAGACGGAAAAGAAAUUAGAAUAAAUAAUAUUUUUAUAAUUCUCAUAUUAUCCUCAACUUUUAAUAUAAUAAAUUUUAAAUUACAACUCAUGUCCUCAAUUUUAAAUUUUCUAUUAUUUUCUAUUAAAAACUCAGAAACAACACAAAGGAAAACUUCAAGUUUUCUGUUCUUUUCUUUUCUGUUCUAAUUUAAGUUUUCUAUUCUUUUCUUUUCUGUCAAAACUCAGAAACAGAGUGUUAGGAAAUUCUGUAAGAAUUUCUAGCCUAAGUUUUUAAUUGCAAGACAAAUUUUAUUUUGCUGGAAAAAUCUUUUAAAAAGGUUAAUGGGCUUAAAAUUCUAUUAUGUUGAGAAUUUAUAUCAAAUUGACAUCUAAAUCAGUUGAACAUAUUUUCAGCUAUGAUUUCUAAAGAUUUAACAAAAUCAAUAUCUUUCCUAAAAAGUUGGCUUGACUAAUUUCCCCUGAUUAGAUUUUUCUGUGUCUCAAAUCAACUGAGAUCUUAUCUCUUAAUUUCAAGCUGUCUAUUUUCACAAAAUUCAAAAUCCUUCCUUAUCAUUUUGAAAUUGUCUUGAGGAAUCCUUGUGAGACACUUGUCUGUUGAUGUGAGCAACAACAGAAAAGUUUCUAGCAUAUUGUCCUUACAUUAUUUUUGAAUUCUUAUCGCUGGAAAUUCAUAGUUAUAUCUUGUAAUUAUAUUCGUUCUUGUUAAAACUUGUAUACAAGCCUAUACUGUUUUGUGUUUGAUCUCUUGAUGGAUAGGUCUGUACAAAGAAAACUCUAAGGUUGUAGUGGUACAAACAGUUGUAAUGAUGCAAGCAGUUGCAGUUGUGCAAAGGAGCAGUAGUGUCCAACAGUGUUCAUAGCUUAUUUAUACAGGGGGUCUUGUAAUUAAUUGAAUAAUUUAUUAAUAAAAGAGUCUCCAAUACCAGUUAGUAUUGGACGUGGAUUAGGCCACUAGAUUAGAGUUUAGAGGUUAAGGGGUCGAACCACGUAAAAAUCUGAUGUGUUUGUUGCUUGCUAAUUAUCUUGUUUAUAUAGCAUUAGAACACUAUCCAUACAUCUACUUACUAUGUACUGUUAAAUCUAAAGUAAUAUAAAUGAGGUUAUGCUUAACAGUUUAAUACAGUCAUCACAUGUUCUACCUGUAUGAUUCUUAGUAACAGUUUAAUACAGACACCAAAGCAGACAUGUCCUACCUGUUUAGAUUACUUUUGUAGCAGAAAAUUUUAAAUUUGUCAUUGUUAAUCAAUUAAAUCCCAUACACCUAUUCAACCCCCUUUCUAGGGGUGUGCACACACGAAAUUUCAUUUGGUACAAGAGAUUGACUAUACUGAUGAUUACCUUUGCAGACCAUAAGGUAAAAUCCUAUGACACACUUUAAUUUUUGAGAAGGGCAGUCCACUAGCAGACCACUCGGCAGUGAGAAUUUUAAUUUCUGAAAAUUCAGAAUGAAGAUAUACCUCAACAGGGAUCCAUGGGAAUGGUGGGUGGUUGACAACGGACCCGUCAUUUCAAAAUUUAUCCAUAUGACUCAAAGCAUAGUCACAAUUUUCAAGACUGGAAACAUAUACAAUCUAAAUAAUUCAUACACAAAUCCACAAUUAAGACAGAAAAUUUUGCAAAUACUUGAAUCAUCCAAGUAAGUAACAAUCAUAUUAGUACCUAAUAACACUAAUCAGUGAUAUUUGAAUUUAAUUGAAAUACUAAUUUGUAGUGCAUAAAGCUUUAAAGUGUUGUGCUUUUUUUAUUUUUAGGAACCUAGUAGCAAUAGUUGAACCUUCUCCAACUGACAUAUGUACAUGGCUACGAUAUAUAAUCAUCUUUAUAUGACUACAAUCAUAUGUAGCUUCUCAAGGCUAACUCCAACAUAAAGUUACCUCAACUUAUUACUAAUUCCUUAUAAAACAAAUACAACUCAAGAAAAAUAAAAGAAGCAAACAUUGUAAUAGUAUAAUAAACAAUCAUUAAAAUUUUAUUAUCCAUAAAAAUAAAUAAAAUUGAGGCUAAAACGACUUAAAAAGCUAAAAAGAAAUUAACAAUUACCUACAUGUCUAAGAAAAAGAGAAAGUAAGAAAAGAAAGAACAGUCAUCUUGUUAUGCACAUCAUCGUCAAUUUCAUAUUAUAUGCUAAUUUAUCCAUUUGUGGCCAUCUAUACUCAUUUUUAAGAAUUACAAAUAAUGCUCAAAACUGCAAUCAUGGAGAAAAUAUAAUUUUAACCUUUCCAUCCUAUUGUUAUAUUUCACCUAAUUUCCCAACCUCUUUCCCAAGUAGAUUAUCAUUUACAUUUAUGUUACAGUUUAUAAAUGAGAAACCUACACCAUCAUUUUUAAGUUCUUAUGAUGAUCUACAAUUGCUCCAAAAAAUUUAUAUCGUAUGCAAAAUGCAUUUUCUUUCAAGAGUAAAAGAUCACCAAGAUUUAUACAUACCUUGUAAUGUGAUCUUGCUCAACCAUAUACAUCUUUACUCCGUAAAAUGUGACUUUAUCACCCGUUAUCCUUGAUGCAAGUAUGAAAUUGUUGCAUUCCGUCUCAUCCGACCACUGCCACUAUAUAAUUCUGCAUAGCAAAACAACAAUCAACAUAUAGUCAUAUACGAUUUAGUUUAUUUAAUGCAAACCAUAAAGUUCAAUAAAAAUUAACAAAAGGUACUCGUUAUCAAAAAAAGAUAGUAAUAAGUUGCAAUACCUGAAUAUUGAUCCCAAACAGUAAUUAGAUAAGACGAUGACAAAAGCUCAUGUAUAGGUUCUGAGAUUAGAGCUUUCCUUGGCUUUAUCUGCUUUAUCUUUCCAAGUGAUAAUAGUUUGAUUUGUUUGAUUUUGAUUUCGAAACUCGGCAAAAUAUCCCCGUAACUUCGGGAGAAGGGAUGCCUCCUCACAAAGGGGGUCGCAUCAAACAAAAUAAAUCAAAGUAAAAUUGUGAUCACCGUAAUUAGAAUACCAAUAAUAUAUCAACCAAUUAAAAUUCAAUUCUCAAACUACAUUAAAACUCAUCACGCAAAAAAUAAUUUUAAGAUAGGAAAAUAGUAACAAAUAGUGACUGUGUUCAACAACUAAAUUUGAGAUAUAAAGUCACGAGUAACUCACUAUGUAUAUGUACAUCGAAAUCAAAUACUAAAAAAUUAUAUUCAAAACUAUAUAUACUAUCUCGUUCCCAUAAUAAGAGUCCUAAUUCAAAAGACAAAAAUUUAAACGUAUUCACUUAAACCACAACUAAGAAGUCGAUAUCAAAACUCACAAAAAGUUGCUCCACCUGCAAUUCUAGCCUUAGGAAAAAAAUAUAAAUUGCCUCACUAAUCUUAUUGUAGGACCAAUGAACAUUAUUUACAAAAUUAUGUUCAUCCCAUAAUAAUGUUAACAUUGUUCUCAUAAACCCAAGUUUAGUCAUUUACAAUACAACAAUACAAUACUUGUUGUUAGAUAGCGCAUUUUCUCAAUGGUCCCCAUCAAAUAAAUUUGUAAUUGUACUAUUACUUAAUAGAGAAUGUUGUGAGACAAUAAUUUUAUUAUUAGAAUCAAUAAAUUGAGCUUUAAGCAUCAUCAUUCAAGAUAACAAUAAAAUGUCAAUGCUCGUAUAAGUCCAAAAAAUUAUUUAUUCAAACCAAUGAAAUCAUCAUUAUACAAAUAGUUUGUGUGAUAUUGGAUCAAUAAAGAAUUGAAAAUUGCUAAUAUGAAAAGCUUCUUUACUGGCAUAAAAGUCUCCUCAAAAUGAUGCACCCUUCCUUGAGCUAAUUUAUCUAAUUGAAGGAUAAAAUGAUUAUGUAUGACCUCUCUUUGUCAUUCCAUCAAGCAGGUAAUGUGCAAGUUUAGUUCAGUGAGAACAAUUGAAUCUAACCAUAAAAUCCAGCACAUUCCCUCCGACCAAAAUUUUUACACAAAACUAACAAUGUUCCAAGAACAUAAAUUGAAACUUACAAUCAUAUUGAAUUCGCAAAAUAGAAUUAAAUAAAGAAAAAAGAAACGCAAAAAAAAAAACCAUAAAUAUGCUAGUAUUUUAGGUUUUCGAUCAUGUGAUAUUUUUUCAUACACUUCAUACACAAUGCCAAAAUCCAAAGAAAAAGGAAAAGAAUGGUGCAUAUAACUAUAGAAUUAAUAAAAUUUUCAAUUCUCAGAUACAUAAUUUGAGCACAAUCCAAACUUACCUCAUUCGAGGUGCUUAACCGAUACCCCAAUUUUGACGAUUGUGACGGCGUCACAGAAGAGAAAUGGAUUGGAUGUAUACAGCUGGGGCUUUGUCUAGUAACAUUAGUACUCGACGAAAGUGUUCAUGUCGAGGAUCCAGUGGAAAGUGUCGAUUUGGGUGUAAGUGAAGAUGUUCAUUAGGAAGCUUCGAUUUGAAAAACUACUCCAAACCAUCUUUUCGAUUUUCAAAAUUUUGUUCUUCAUGCUUUUAAUAUUUUAUAUUCCCUCCGUUCCAUAAUACAUCAGGUUUUAAAGCUGUACACAAAGAUAA